rnacentral:rRNA from 1 species
UACGUAGGGUGCAAGCGUUAAUCGGAAUUACUGGGCGUAAAGCGUGCGCAGGCGGUUCUAUAAGACAGAUGUGAAAUCCCCGGGCUCAACCUGGGAACUGCAUUUGUGACUGCAUGGCUGGAGUGCGGCAGAGGGGGAUGGAAUUCCGCGUGUAGCAGUGAAAUGCGUAGAUAUGCGGAGGAACACCAAUGGCGAAGGCAAUCCCCUGGGCCUGCACUGACGCUCAUGCACGAAAGCGUGGGGAGCAAACAGG